GGUUCGAUGGUGUAGUUGGUUAUCACGUUCGCCUCACACGCGAAAGGUCGGGAUUUCGAGCAUCCCUCGAAUCA
rnacentral:tRNA from 1 species